AUCCAUCUGACGAGUCUCAAGUAAGACGAAACGCGCGCCCUGGAU
rfam:Schistosoma rodhaini strain Burundi genome assembly, scaffold: SROB_scaffold0001421